rnacentral:rRNA from 1 species
GUGCCAGCAGCCGCGGUAAGACGAACCGUCCAAACGUUAUUCGGAAUCACUGGGCUUAAAGGGCGCGUAGGCGGCCGAGCGGGUCGCGGGUGAAAUCCCCCAGCUUAACUGGGGAACUGCCCUCGAUACCACUGCGGCUCGAGGAAGGAAGGGGUCAUGGGAACUGUCGGUGGAGCGGUGAAAUGCGUUGAUAUCGACAGGAACGCCUGUGGCGAAAGCGCAUGACUGGUCCUUUUCUGACGCUGAGGCGCGAAAGCCAGGGGAGCAAACGGGAUUAGAUACCCCGGUAGUCCUGGCCUUAAACGAUGAGAACUAGGUAGUGGGUCCGACCUGGGCACACUGCCGAAGCGAAAGUCUUAAGUUCUCCGCCUGGGGAGUAUGGUCGCAAGGCUGAAACUCAAAUGAAUUGGCGG